UUUAUGAAGAGUUUGAUCCUGGCUCAGGAUGAACGCUGGCGGCGUGCCUAAUACAUGCAAGUCGAGCGAACGGACGAGAAGCUUGCUUCUCUGAUGUUAGCGGCGGACGGGUGAGUAACACGUGGAUAACCUACCUAUAAGACUGGGAUAACUUCGGGAAACCGGAGCUAAUACCGGAUAAUAUUUUGAACCGCAUGGUUCAAAAGUGAAAGACGGUCUUGCUGUCACUUAUAGAUGGAUCCGCGCUGCAUUAGCUAGUUGGUAAGGUAACGGCUUACCAAGGCAACGAUGCAUAGCCGACCUGAGAGGGUGAUCGGCCACACUGGAACUGAGACACGGUCCAGACUCCUACGGGAGGCAGCAGUAGGGAAUCUUCCGCAAUGGGCGAAAGCCUGACGGAGCAACGCCGCGUGAGUGAUGAAGGUCUUCGGAUCGUAAAACUCUGUUAUUAGGGAAGAACAUAUGUGUAAGUAACUGUGCACAUCUUGACGGUACCUAAUCAGAAAGCCACGGCUAACUACGUGCCAGCAGCCGCGGUAAUACGUAGGUGGCAAGCGUUAUCCGGAAUUAUUGGGCGUAAAGCGCGCGUAGGCGGUUUUUUAAGUCUGAUGUGAAAGCCCACGGCUCAACCGUGGAGGGUCAUUGGAAACUGGAAAACUUGAGUGCAGAAGAGGAAAGUGGAAUUCCAUGUGUAGCGGUGAAAUGCGCAGAGAUAUGGAGGAACACCAGUGGCGAAGGCGACUUUCUGGUCUGUAACUGACGCUGAUGUGCGAAAGCGUGGGGAUCAAACAGGAUUAGAUACCCUGGUAGUCCACGCCGUAAACGAUGAGUGCUAAGUGUUAGGGGGUUUCCGCCCCUUAGUGCUGCAGCUAACGCAUUAAGCACUCCGCCUGGGGAGUACGACCGCAAGGUUGAAACUCAAAGGAAUUGACGGGGACCCGCACAAGCGGUGGAGCAUGUGGUUUAAUUCGAAGCAACGCGAAGAACCUUACCAAAUCUUGACAUCCUUUGACAACUCUAGAGAUAGAGCCUUCCCCUUCGGGGGACAAAGUGACAGGUGGUGCAUGGUUGUCGUCAGCUCGUGUCGUGAGAUGUUGGGUUAAGUCCCGCAACGAGCGCAACCCUUAAGCUUAGUUGCCAUCAUUAAGUUGGGCACUCUAAGUUGACUGCCGGUGACAAACCGGAGGAAGGUGGGGAUGACGUCAAAUCAUCAUGCCCCUUAUGAUUUGGGCUACACACGUGCUACAAUGGACAAUACAAAGGGCAGCGAAACCGCGAGGUCAAGCAAAUCCCAUAAAGUUGUUCUCAGUUCGGAUUGUAGUCUGCAACUCGACUACAUGAAGCUGGAAUCGCUAGUAAUCGUAGAUCAGCAUGCUACGGUGAAUACGUUCCCGGGUCUUGUACACACCGCCCGUCACACCACGAGAGUUUGUAACACCCGAAGCCGGUGGAGUAACCUUUUAGGAGCUAGCCGUCGAAGGUGGGACAAAUGAUUGGGGUGAAGUCGUAACAAGGUAGCCGUAUCGGAAGGUGCGGCUGGAUCACCUCCUUU
rnacentral:rRNA from 1 species